UAUACGCAAUAACCCGACCUCGAGAAUUCUGUGUGUGCCUGAACCCUAAUGUGGACAGGCCUGACCCGGAACAACCCUGGCCCUGACUUACGCGGGCUUACACUCUAGUGAGGGAGGCCGACCUUAAACUAAACAGGAGGUAAUUUCGGAGAGUGGUAAGGAAUGUGAAGAUACCGAAUAGGGUGAAGACACAGUUGGAGCAGAGAGCACUGCUUUUAAAUCCUUUGGUCAGGAAGUGACAGGAGUGAGCCUGAACAUCUUUGCUUAUAUGAAGUCAUGUCUUCUUCCUCUGCUACACACUGUUGAGACUGCUACACUUCAAUACACCUGACAAGAAAGAAAAA